AGAGUUUGAUCAUGGCUCAGAUUGAACGCUGGCGGCAUGCUUAAUACAUGCAAGUCGAACGGUAACAGAUUCUUCGGAAUGCUGACGAGUGGCGGACGGGCGAGUAAUACAUAGGAAUCUGCCCAUGUAGUGGGGGACAACUUGGGGAAACUCAAGCUAAUACCGCAUAAUUCCUACGGGAUAAAGAGGGCCACUGCUUGCAAGCUCUUGCUACUGGAUGAGCCUAUGUCGGAUUAGUUAGUUGGUAAGGUAAUGGCUUACCAAGACAGCGAUCCGUAGCUGGUUUGAGAGGAUGAUCAGCCACACUGGGACUGAGACACGGCCCAGACUCCUACGGGAGGCAGCAGUAGGGAGUAUUGGACAAUGGGCGCAAGCCUGAUCCAGCAAUGCCGCGUGUGUGAAGAAGGCCUGCGGGUUGUAAAGCACUUUCAAUUGGGAAGAAAGAUUAUGAGUUAAUACCUUAUAAUAUUGACGU
rnacentral:rRNA from 1 species